rnacentral:tRNA from 1 species
AUAAAUAUAGUUUGACAAAAACAUUAGAUUGUGAAUCUAACUACAGGAGCUCAAGUGUUCUUAUUUACC